ensembl:snRNA U6 U6 spliceosomal RNA
AUGCUAGCUUCAGCAGCACAUAUAUUAAAAUCGGAACAAUACAGAGAAGAUGCGCAUGGUCCCUGCGCAAGGAUAACACGCAAAUUCGUGAAGUGUUCCAUAUUUUU